GACGAACGCUGGCGGCGUGCUUAACACAUGCAAGUCGAACGGAAAGACCCUGCUUUUGUGGGGUGCUCGAGUGGCGAACGGGUGAGUAACACGUGAGUAACCUGCCCUUGACUUUGGGAUAACUUCAGGAAACUGGGGCUAAUACCGGAUAGGAGCUCCUGCUGCAUGGUGGGGGUUGGAAAGUUUCGGCGGUUGGGGAUGGACUCGCGGCUUAUCAGCUUGUUGGUGGGGUUGUGGCUUACCAAGGCUUUGACGGGUAGCCGGCCUGAGAGGGUGACCGGCCACAUUGGGACUGAGAUACGGCCCAGACUCCUACGGGAGGCAGCAGUGGGGAAUAUUGCACAAUGGGCGGAAGCCUGAUGCAGCAACGCCGCGUGCGGGAUGACGGCCUUCGGGUUGUAAACCGCUUUCGCCUGUGACGAAGCGUGAGUGACGGUAAUGGGUAAAGAAGCACCGGCUAACUACGUG
rnacentral:rRNA from 1 species